rnacentral:rRNA from 1 species
UACGUAGGGGGCAAGCGUUGUCCGGAUUUAUUGGGCGUAAAGAGCGUGUAGGCGGCUAUACAGGUCCGCUGUGAAAACUCGAGGCUCAACCUCGAGACGUCGGUGGAAACCGUAUGGCUAGAGUCCGGAAGAGGAGAGUGGAAUUCCUGGUGUAGCGGUGAAAUGCGCAGAUAUCAGGAAGAACACCCGUGGCGAAGGCGGCUCUCUGGGAUGGUACUGACGCUGAGGCAUGAAAGCGUGGGGAGCAAACAGG